GUGGCAGCUAAAGGGGAGUGAGAAAUUUGGAAAGGAUCUUUAAGUCAGUAUAUUUCCCUGACUUCAGCAGGACAAAGAACCUGCCCCAGAGUUAGAUUUGCAGGUUUUAAGAAAAAGGAGGGGAGAUGGUAAAAGUUGGGAAUGAAGAACAGUUUGUUAUACAUUGAAAAGGGGAGAAAACAGAUACAAGGUGCUCUGUAUUUCUUUAUAUAUAUGUUACGAUGCCAAGCUUAAUCAUUUACAUGUCUUAAAAUGCUUCAGAAUAGAGUUGAAAACUUAAAAUUAGAAGUAGUUCAGCAAUGUUUGUUUUGUAGGCCAAUAGCUGAUGUAAGCCCAUAGCCAAGUGAGGAUUUCAGGGAGAGAUUUUUGUUUAUAUAUUUUUUUAUUAUUUAUUUUUUUUUAAAUAGCAGUACAUUGCUGUAGAAAAUAAUCUAAUUCUUAAGAUCAUGGGCUGGUUUAUGUUGGAAGGGACCUUGCAGAUGAUUUAGUACCAAUGUGUGUGCCUGUGGGUGACAAGUAAAUGCCAGAUGUCAGUGAAGAGUCAGGAAUUUCUCCUUGCUAUGGAGAGUUAUGAUGUAGCAGAGAGAGGAGACUUGGCUUCAAAACCACAGGUGUCAUCAAGUGCAGUUCUUUACUAGCUCUGCCAGAACUCGGGAUCUGGAAUAACCUGGAAAGUGGAUAAGAGACAGAAUUCUUCUUUCCACCCUGGGGACCUGGCUUGAUUGCUGGAGCUGCCUCCUCGUGGUCUAGCCAAAGAUAGCAGAUGAUUUUUAAUAGCCACACCUCUUUAGGAUUGUUAUUUUUUUUGUCUCCUCCAAUAAAGGCUAGAAGAAAUGUGGUUCUGUUUCCGAAAAAUACGGCCGGCAUGGAAACGAGAACUGCUUUCUGUGGUAUCGAGUGCAGGGGAGCAGUUAUGGGAUUCUGAGCACCCACUUCAGUCUUGCCUUACGUCACCGGGAUCAGAAGAGAGAGCUGUCGGUGACAACCACAUCGUUCAUGUCAUUGCACUUGACAGGCAGCUCCCAGCUGCCUGAAGGGGGUCAAAGAUGGAAGAGAGAAAUCUGGCUGUCUCCAUCCUGGAAAUUCAGUGCAACCGAGCUGAUGUGGCUGCGGUGGCCGUGAGCCACCCACAUGUCCUUUGGGGUAAGUGUUCUGGGUUUUUUGGUUUGGUUUUUUUCUAAUUGAUGGAAUGAAAUGGGAAUGUCCAUAAAGAGCGUUGUCAUGUCUCUCCUGUGGACAGGAGCUUCUUGGGUUGUCCUCACACAAUUCCCUGUAACUGUGCAGUAAUCCCUCCACACCUGUGUCUAUGAACCUAAUAUAUCUGAUUCUGAUUUGGGUGUUUGUUUCUUGCUUGUAAAUAUUUGCAAAUGGUCCUGAUUUUAAUUCCUGGGAAUGUUGACAAACUCUGGUGACAGGCAUUGAUUUGCUUUCUGACACAAAACAGAUACAGGUUUCUCACACCUAAUUUUUAUUUUCUAUACUUUUCUUUCCCGUAUUGCAAACUCAAUCCCAGGGAGCGUGAUCCUGGGAUCCAUAGCAGGACUGCACCUGGGCCCAGGCCCCUGCUGUGCUCUUCUCUGUUCCUGGUGCAGCCAGUGCUCAACAGGAGCUGUAAAUCCCUUGUGAAUUUGUACCACAGCUCUAGGGAGAUAACUCAAAACAGGGCCCACCAUUGUUAGUACACCGUUCCUCAGUCCCCUGCUCUCCCUGCUGUCUUUCUGAACGAGACCCACAUGGGAGGCUUUGAACUUUGUGUGUCACACCCAGAGAUGGGAUCAAAUGUCCCUUGUUUGCCUUUUUCAGCCUGUGUUGUAUUCACAGAGCGUGAGGAGUCUGUGUUCCACCAGGGCCCUGAGAACCAUUGCCAGGUUUGGUCUUGAUGGACCAAUUUUCAUUUUCACUGCUAUUAUCAGAGU
rnacentral:lncRNA from 1 species